GCACUCUUAGCUCAGUUGGUAGAGCAACUGACUCUUAAUCAGUGGGUCCAGGGUUCGA
rnacentral:tRNA from 1 species